ensembl:lncRNA
CUGGAACAGAGACUGGUUUCCCACCAGCUGCUGUUGCUCCAGACAGUGGCUGAGACUUGCUAUUGGCAGCAGCAAGACAGACAGAGGAAGCUGGGACAAGCUGGGAAGGAGAACACUGGGGAGGGGGCCACCAGCAGCAACAGAAAGCAACUGGAAAUGGCCCUAAUGACAGAGAAAGCAUAUCUGAGGGCUGAGCAUGCUCAUCUUCCUCCCCAUUCCCUGCCCCUUGCAGCCUCCCCCGACACAGACAGCAGCGUGGCCAGUGGAAGGACAUCAGAGACUUGCAUUUCAUGGGAAACAGCAUCAGUGAAAGCCACUCGACACUAAAUAAAUAAAAAAUUUCUCUUCUGAGAACAGAUGUUGGAGUUGAGCUGACUGCCUUGCCACCUGGGCAGCCCUCACCCUUUCACUGGCAUUUUUGCUUCGUGGACAUUGCCUGCACCAUUAAGGAGAACAGGGUAUGAGAAAUUCACGAUGACCAAAAUUCUGACCCCGAACCAUGAAAAGAAGACACAGCGGAAAUUACAUUUGCG